UACGCUCUCAGCAAUAACGUCAACAUCGUGUUCCAUAUCAAUGUAGUUCCAUUCCUUCUAUUUCUGUUUAAUACGUAGAUUUCUCGAAAACAAUAGUCAUGCCACCAAAAUCUACUAGAACACGUGGGCGUGGUGGUAGGGGUUGAUGUAGAGAAAGAGGGUCCUCUGAUAGAAACGAAUCCUGAUCAAGUAGAGAUGUCGGAUCGACUAAUCCAACCUAAAUUACAACCUAUUGCUGGUCCAUAAAGCUGAAAUGACGAUAUUUUAGUGAACGAUAGCAGAGAUGACACACAUGUGUCAAUAGAUAUAGUUAGAUAUGGUGUGAUAGCCAAUGAAACAACUCUCCAUCCAGGUAACAAUUUUUAAAAGUAAACCAUUUUAGGCCAAGGUACGGCCUUCAAUACGAAGCUUUGUCUCACAUCGAACAGAAAGCUACAAAGGGCCCCCAAAAUUACUAGUGUGAAACCAUUCAAACGGGAAACCAAACAGUCUAAUCUAUAUGAAAAUGAGAAGCAUGGUUGAGCCGUUAGAGAAAAUAGACAAGAAGUCCCAAUUACAUACAGACAAACAAAACCUGGUGAGAUUUAAUAUAUUUUAUGUGAAAAUGACAAUGAGAAUGAUGGUUGUAGUAUAAACGUAGUCAGGUCGUACGAAGUGCGUGAUGAGCACGGCAAGGGCGUGUUAGAAUCGUACUAUGGUCGUGAACAGCGUGGUAUAGUCGUAGACGAAGCGUAGUUGGAUCGCGGCGAGAACGUUAUAGUCGUAGUGAGGUCGUAAUAACGUCGCUGUGAGAUCGUACCGCAGUUUCUCCGAAUAGAAUCACGCUUUCUCUACGCUCUCGCUACGAUGUAACAGCGACCUUUGCGAUCUUACUACGAUCUUAGUGCGCUCUUACUACGCUUCUACUACGACCUGAUUUCGCCACGACCGCACCACGAUUGUUUUGGACAUGUUCAAAGUUGGCCACGCUCAUCGCGAUCUUGAAGACCUCACCACGACCGUGAUACGACCUUACUGCGAUCUACACGAUCGUAUUACGAUCAUCAAAAUUUGCAUUUUUUUCACAGAUCGUAGUGCGAUCGUGGCCUAGUGGGACUGCGGUAUUAAAAAUGUUGUUUUUAUUUAGGAAUCAUUAAUGCAAAAAUGUGGGUUCCAAACAAGACACCUGUCUCCUAUAAUAACUGUACUUGUAGUUGCUGGGACACAGUUUUUAAAGGUUUGUAAUAUUGUUUACAGUAGUGACAUUUCAACUAGACCGCUGGUGGUGUAUUGAAUGAUAUCUUAGUUAAGGAGUUAUGGUUUAUUUGUAAGUUAGAAAUGGGACCAUAAUUAGUUACUGCGAGUACUCUCCUAUCGGUAAUUUGUGUCUUUUGUAAAACAAAUAAAUCUUAAUGGUGUGUAGUACAGAUCUGGUAAGGCGAGCCCUUUCAAACUUAUUUUACAGUCUGCUACAAAAAUGCACUGCUAUCUGGCGUUACCAUUGCUACAUGCUAGUAUGCGCCUGUACAAAGCCAGAACAAUGUCGUUGUAUUAUUACAUACGAGUCAAAAAUAUAUAAAGACCGAAGAACAAAGAUGCAGUAACAGAUCAUCAUGCAGCCGAGCAAAACCUUUAUCGCAUUGUAAACCAUACGUGUUCAUUACAGAUGUGUGAAUAACAUUUUUUCAAAUAAGUUUUUUUCUAAAGAUUAGUAAUAUCUUCUUUAUAAAUGUAUAUAGACUAAUAAUAUUCUUUCUUUGUUGCGAAUUCAUUUAAUUAAACUUUCAAGGGUUUAGAUAAAACGGGAUUUUUCAGUGUAUGUAAAGUGCGGAUCCUAAAAUAUCAUUUUUACUGUAUAUGCCAUAAAUGUCUAAUGUAGAAUGAUAAAUAAACAGACGAACUUUUUUUAAUUUUUGAAGAAAAUGAAGAAAAAUAGUUAAAAUGUAUAUGUUCAGAAAUACAUAAUACUAAUAAAACAAAGUAAGAGAUGCGAGCGGGAUUUAUCGCGCCUAAAGCCAUCCAACUGUGAAAUAUAUACCAAAAUAGGUGAAUUUUUAGGACAUUUCACGAACAGAUCGUGCAGGUGCUUUAUAACUAACAGGUGAGAUGUUGUUGCAGUAAAAAAUAUUCAUUUUAAUACAAUUAUUAAAGUUGUAUAACGUAGAAUAUGUUUUGUCAUUCAGUUUCUUCAUAUUUAACUAAAUUCCACUAUGAUGAUUUCGUAAUGCUAGUCAUGUUUACUGUCGAAUAAUGAUACUAUUCUUUCAUUUUAACUGUGGAGCGAAUCAUUAGUAUUGUAUAUGCGGUGCAUUUUCACUGUAUAAUUAUUAUUUUUUUUAUCUAUUACAGCUCAUUUCUUUAAGCAUGUAGAGCAAGACUUUAGUUGAUUUGCUUGCUUUUUUUAUUGGAUAAUCAUUAUGAUAACACCCAAUUUAAUUCAAAUAUUAAAAAUACAGGUUAAACUAUGCCUAUUCAUAUUGUUUAAAAAUGUCAAUCUUAUUUACAAAGUUUGUAUAAACAAUUAUACAAACAAAGCAAGCAAGCCAACCAAAGUUUUGCUUUACAUGCAUUAGGAAAUUAGCUGUAAAGUCUUAAUUUAGCCGACUUGCUCAAAUAAUAGAUAAAGUAAGAGAAAGAUUUGAUAAAAUUUAACUUACGGAUAAAAGUUUGGUUUUAAAACACUCUACUAAAUUCAAUAGAAAUAACAUUUAUUUCAAAUGUAUUCCAUUUAGUUUCUUAUAAAGCGUAUAGAGAUCUUUAUCCUUAUUUUUUUUAUCCAUUUCCAUGACACUUCACCACUAAUUACGUACAUCUUGAUAUAGAUUGCACCUUUGUUUUCCCGUUUAAAAGGUUUUACACUGGAGCCCUUUAUAACUUGCUGUUCGGUGUGAGCCAAGACUCCAUGUUGAAGACCGUAUUUUGACGUAUAAUGGUCUACUUUUAUAAAUUGUGACUCGGAUGGAGAGUUGUCUCAUUGUCACAUACGACAUCUAUAUGGCUCAAAAACGAAACGAGACGGGAUAAAAAGGGAUGAAAAAAUCUACGCUACUUUUUUAAUAUAUUUAUAAUGGGCUUUAUAUGAGUCAAAAUAGAGUAAAAUAGUGGGUCGCAUUUGGGUAUAAGCGUCACGCCGGAUUGCCGAUUUUUUGCAAGCGUGACAGCUAGUGAAAGUCAAAUGAUUGUGUAGAGAAAAACGGGAAAUGAAGUCUAGCGGGACACGGAUAAUUACAAAAAAUUAGAACUGCAUAGUAUAAGCGGGAUACGGGAAUCUGACAAAACAAUAAGCGGAAUACGGGAAUCUGCCAAAACAGUAAGCGGGAUCCGGGAUCAGAACCCCCUAAUGAGACCCCAGAAAAAGAUAUUUUUGUAUAUUCAUCCUAUUGUUACAGUCAUGCCUUCAAUAACAAAAGUAUCCGAUGCAUGCAUUUUUUCAUAUUUUUGGUCCCUUUUUCAAUUUUGUGGGGUCCAAAUUUAUAGACAAAAGUCCUUUAAUAUAGAUAUUUGGAAUUCGUUGACAUGCUGAAUCUGACCAUGUAUCAAGUUUGGGGAUUUUUUGCCUAGUUGCUGAAAUAGCCCACAUAGAGUUCCAAAGGGUCUAAAAUCAACAAAAAUGAAUUGUAGCAUGCAUUUCGUGUACAAUAACCCAAAUGUGCAUGGUUUUACCUCUGUGGUAGUAUCCAUUCGCGGAUCUAGAAUUUUUCAUAAGUAGGGGCCCACUGACUGCUUAAAAGGGCCCGCUGCUGUCACGCUCCAGUGAUUCACUAUAUAAGUUAAAAUCAAGGAGAAACGUAAUCUGAAGAAUACAAUAUGACAUUUUGAGAAUCGCUUUUGUUACAAGUUUGAAAAGCUAUAUAUUUGAUGAAGAAUGAAUGAGGAGUUUGUAUUUCAAUUGGAAAAUACAUGUAUCAUAAAUCCUAAAGUCAUCAACUAAGUUUUUUUUCAUUUGUUGCAAGUGCAUUUAUCACAUAAUUCUACAAUAAAAAUUCCUCGCAUCUUUGAAAAUUCUACAUUAAUAAUGACUGCACUAACAGUGAUAAUUCAUCGCAUCUAUAGUUAAAAUGGAUCGCUUUCAAUAAUCGAUAUGCUAUAUUAUGAUGCUUUUAUAACACUUAUUUGAAGUUUAAUGCUAUGUUUGUAUAUUAUAAAGACAUAUCACAAUGAAAAUAUGUUAAAACUUAACUUAAAAUCCUUUAACUUGAUAUUUUCAAAACGUAAACAAAUACAGUUUUCCCAUGAUCCUUUAUUCUACAAUAGACAUACCCGCAUAUAACAGUAAAAAUGAACUAGCUGGAUUCGCACUUUAUAUACACUGUUUUUUGCUGCAAUAUUUACCCAAUUAAAAAAAGAAUCAAAGAUGAAAAUUGAAUUUGGAACAAAUAAUUUUAUAGAAUAUCAAAUAAAAUGUCAUUCCGUGUGCUCGUUUUUCAAGGUAAUUAUUAAUAACUCUCGAAUAAGUGUUUUCUCAGAUGUGUCGCAGUUUAAAGGCGUGAAAAAAAUACAGUUUACGUUAGUAGCCUCUUUUCCAUUCCUGAAACUGUAUCGUUUCCCCUUAAAAGUUUGGUUAAAUUUUGAGAUAAAUGACGACAUUUUUGCCCUUUUUAUAGAAUAUCACUAUAAGAGAUGGGCUGUGUAAUAACUGAACGUAUAAUAAGUCGGCACCUUAAGGGCAUACGACACAGUUAUAGAGAUAACACAUGUUAAAAAUAAUAUAUAUUUAUUGGCGAAGUAAGAUCACGGCUUCUGUCGGUUACCAACCCAUGAACAAAGGGUCUUUGGGUAACCGUAAAUUAAAAUUAUAAAUCAAAUCUUCAAAAUAUAAUAGAUAAUUAAAAUUGAAAUAGAACUAAAAUGUAAUAAAAUUAUGAAUUAAUAGUGUGCUGUAUUGAACCCUGGCAACAGAUGUCCAAAAUCAACAUGAAAAACUACGUUUGAAGUGUAAAUGAAGAAAUGGAUUAAUGUUCUAAAUUAAAUAAUAAUAAAUCAAGUUUAUCGGUACUGAGGCAGCCUAUAAAGUCCGCCACUAAACAAAUUCGAAAUUUUCUGUCAUAACAGAAUGUUUCGAAAAUUGUUACCGCCAACCAGUACUAUGAAGGUGAUUUUUAUUUGAAAAUAAAAAAAAAUAAAAAAAAACCUGUAUGUUAAAGAAUCUGACCGCCGUGACUACAAGCUAACAGAUUCCCGAAGCCAUGGACCUACUUCGCCGUUUUGUGGACAAAUUGUAUGUGAAAAUUUUAUAAUGUCAAAUAAACCUUGCUGUAACCUAUACAAAAACAAAUUAUUUCCGAUAUCUGAUAAAUGAACACCGUCUAAAAAUAAAUCUGGGUUGUCUUCAGAUAUUUCUGGAUAUCUAAUAUAAGCACCGCCAUGUUUGAUGAUAUAUGUAGCUACUAAACUAUUUAAUCUAACUCUAGUUCUGUUCAAAGAUCUAUGUACAAUCUCAUUCCUGUAUUUCAAUCUGGGUAAAAUUUGAGACCAAACAAAUUUUGACUUUGGUAGUAAGACCCGAAGGCAAUCAAUUACUUUUAAAAUAUCGUGUCCUAAUACACAUGACACUUUUUGUCCGAUAUCAUUUCCACCACAGUGAAAUACUAAUACUUGCGGGGGUUCUUCAAGUGUAAGCAAAUGUUUGACUUUGGGUAUUAUCUCACAAAUCCUCAUUCCACUUUUUCCUUGCCACCAUAUUGUAGAUUUUAUUCGUUCCAAACCUAAAUUUACACCAUCGACAGACUUUCUAGCAUGUACAAAUGCAUGUUUGAUGAUUGAAGAACCCACCAACCAAACACUCUUUUGUUGACCUGAAAGUCUUAAAGUGACGAUCAGGCGAGUAUUCAAAUUUCAAAUCAAUUAUGUACAAUAUAUACAAACAAAUAAAUGAUGACACAUAUUAAAUUUGACUUGCUAACUUUAGCGUUGGUAUUCUGAUAUAUCUUUUAUAAGCUUUUGAUUCCCAACGACCAAAAUCCUGAAUUUCAUCAUCAGAAAACCCCAUUUUCGAAGACUGAGAUGCAGCUCCGAUCCUAAAACUAUGACUUUGAAAAUUAUCCGAUGUAAUAUUCGCCACAUUCAGAGCUUUCUUUAGAACAGCGUUAAACUGAUAACGUGUAACAUAGUUUCCACCGAAGUGUAUGAAUGCAGGACCAAUGGUUUUGGGCCUGGCAAUAAAAUAUUUCUUUAAUAAAUGAACAGGACAUACAUGAGAAUUAAUUGAAGGUAUAAUUAUUAAACUACCUUUGCCUAACUGAUCAGUUUUUGAAAAUUUAAGGUUGAUAGAAACGUUAUUGUCUGAAAAACUAAAAUCAUCUAACGACAAAGUGUGAGAAUGUGCCAGUGAUUUAUUGACUACUAAUUCCCCUAUCCUGAAAAAAACCAAAAUACGCCAAACUAAACAACCCCGAAAACAAUAAGGUCUCAUAUUGUGAGAGACAUACAGAUGGUAAUAGUGAAAUCAAUUUAUCUAAAAUCUGUGGUGUAAUUGGCAAUCUUGAAUCCACUCGUUUGUCAAGCCUUUCCAUUCAAUUAACAUUUUCUUAAUUAUAAAAUUGUGAGUGUUAUCAGUAAUAUUUAACAUUUUACAUUUAAAGGCUAUACCAAAAAUAUAAGACUUGACAGUAGACGGAGCAUAACCUCGCACAGAUAAAUAUGCUAUAAAGUUACAGAUAACAUUAAGUGAGGGUGGCCAAACAAUGGCAUGUCCGUGUGAAGAUCUAAAUUGAUCAAAUGACCUGACAGCAGUUUCAUAAGUGUCACUUGUGUUUGGUGAGAUUGACGCCGUUAACAACUUGUUGGAUUCAAAUUUGAGAUCACUUGAAGAAAAGGAUGUGGGACCUUUUCUGGUCUUUGUAGCGCCUCUGGUGACAUGCGACGAAACCGUGGCCACUGUUGACGAGAAAUUGCAUCCGCAAUACAGUUUUUGUUUGAUGUAAUAUGCAUUGCUUUGAACUGAAUAUUAUAAACCAUAGCUUUUAAGACUAAAGGACGAAGAAUAUGCAUUACCCUUCUUGAUCUAGACGUUUUAGAAUUCAAGAUAUGAACAAGUGCUUUAUUGUCAACGUGUAAGAUAAUUUUCUUAUUCGCAAAGAUCGCAUACCACAAAUGAAAGGCUAAAACAAUAGGCAAUAACUCUAAAAAUGUAAUGUCCUUUAAUAUAUCGCAACCUAACCAAUAUGACGGCCAAGGAAAGAAAGCCCAAUUAGGAUGUAAAUACGAAGCACAUCCACCAAACGCACUCCCAGCACUAUCAGUAAAUAACUCCAUAUCAACAUUUGAUAUCCAAUCGGAAUCGGGAAAAUAAAAUUUGCCAUUAAAACAAUCUAAAAAUAACGACCACAAGCCUUAUGUCUUCCUUAAUUGACGCAGUGAGCCUUAUAUGGUGCCGAGGAUUUGAUAUUCCUGACAUUGCAUCAUAAAAACGUCUGUUGAAUGCCCUACCCGUAGGGAUCACUCUCGAACAAAAAUUCAAAAUGCCUGUAAAAGACUGGAGAACACGUAAUGUUUUUAUUGUUUUCAAUUUCAGCAAUUUCUCUUUGGGAAUUUUUACAGACAUUUCAAUUGUAUUAAUUUCAAGCCCCAAAAAAGUAAGAACAUGAGUUGGACCGACGGUCUUGUCAUGUGCCAAAGGAACUCCUAAACGAUCACAUAAACAAUCAAAUUCACUCAUCAGGUUAAGGCAAGUUGAAUCAGUCCCCGGGCCUGCAAACAAAAAAUCAUCUAAGUAGUGUAUAACACUUUCCGAUCCCGUUUUGUCCUUAAAGAUACAUUCUAGAAAUGUUGAGAAUUUCUCAAACGUUGCGCAAGACAGACUACAACCUUGAGGCAAACAGCGGUCCACGAAGUAAAAGUCCAAAAAUUUGAAACCCAAUAACUCGAAAUCAUCCGGGUUUACUGGUAAAAGCCUAAAUGCCGAGCUGAUAUCUUUUUUUUUCCAAUUAGGGCGAACUUUCCUUGGCUACCCACCAUAUCUAGUGCAUGGUCAAACGGCGUAUAAGUCACAGAACACAAGCCCUUAUCAAUAUAAUCAUUUACGCUUAAACCGUGUGGGUAUGAUAAAUGCUGUAUAAGCCUCCAAGAACCAUCCUUUUUAGGACAUAAGCCAAUCGGAGACCAUCUUAGAUUAAAAAGUGGUAUAUUGUUAAAUGGACCAGCUAUUCUUCCCAAAUUAAUUUCUUUCAAUAAUUUUUUUGCAACUUCAACUUCAUUGCCAAAAACAGAAACUAGAUUUCUACAAUCAGUAGUCAUCCUAGGUCCAGUAUAAUUUAGACGAAAACCUUCCAAAAAUCCCAAAUAUAAUUCUGAAGCAACUGUUUUAUUACUAUAAUUUUCCAGAAACUUGCAAAGAACAUCAAAUUUAAUUGGCGUAUUAGCGAUUGAAUGAACCGUGGAAAGGUGGUCGCUGGAAUCUGACAGCUGCCCUUGGAUUAGCACUCGAGCCUCGUUGCGAACUGUUAUUUGGUUGUCCAGCAGCGAAUCUAGGACCACGCCUAAAAUUAAAAUUUGUCUGAGCACCAUGAAAUCGUGUACAGUUUACCGAUGGGUGAAUACCUGAACAACGUAAACAACUAUGUGAAUAAUGACAGUUAGGCCUAGUACAGGAUCCAUUGUUAUAAUCAAACAUUUAUACGCAUUAGUUACAGGGUUUGGAUUAAAUUGUGUGUUAUCAUCAUACAUGUUUAAUUGAGAACACCAUCUUAAAGUAUUAGAAUUAUCAUCAAUAGGUACUGGGUUCGACAAUAAACAACCCAGAUCAAUAUAUUCACCAUUUAAGAUUUUUUGUCUGAUAUUGCAAGAAACAUUAUUACCCAAAUCAUUGCUGAUGCUAGCAAUUUCAUGUACAGAAUUAACAUUAGAUUCAAAAUUUUGAAAUGUACCUUGUUCAUUGAUGGUUUGUGAAUACGACUCUUCAUUAUUCGGUAAAUCCACUGAACUGUUAAACGUGGUAGAUGGUCCUGAUGCAUUAGAUGUUGUAAUUUGCGUCCGUGGCGGCACUACAUCAUGUUCUGUUUGAGACAGUGCAGCUGUCCUGUCAUUAUCAGUAACACGGGCUGUUCUCCUUCUUUUAACUCCUUUUCCCCUCGCGACAGUUUUUCCCCUAGGCAUCACUAACCUUCCAAUAAAUAAACACAGUGUAAAAUAAAAAAUAGUUACCAAUCCUAAAAUAUAUGUUUAACUAAAUAUAAAAGUAAACAUGAAAUAAACAACGCGAUAUCUGUGACGGAAAAAAAAAUUGCUGAUAAAUCAAUUAAUCAAAUGUCAAUUUAAAGCAUUUACCAAAUAUUUCUUAACGGAAGCCUAGUUAAGUAUAAUUCUCUUAAAUAAUUUGCAACAUCAAAUAGCAAUUAGGUGUACCAUGUAUAAUUGUAUUGUCUAGCCAUAUUAGAUGACUCCCGGCGUGCAUCGAAUAUUAAAUAUAAAUUACAUACCUCAUAGGAAGUUGCCAAAAUAAUCUGCAUAACAAAAUGCAAUUAGCAUGGAUAGCAUCAACAUUAGAUGCCUCAAUAAAAGACAAAGCAAUAAUGUGAAUGAAACUAAAAUUAAAAUAAAUUCAACAUCAUAAUUCGUUAUAUAGACAUAUAAUAAACAUAAACAAAUAAAAUCGAUUGAAUGUAUUAAAAUUAAUAUCAAGUAAUCAUGUGUAUAAUAAAUUAAAUCAAUAGUCUGACCUUAGAUCAAUAUAAAUCCUUGAAGAUAGCGUUUGCAAUAUUUGUGAUGAGAAUGCAAGAGCAGUUAAUUUAUAUGUAGUGUAAUAAAUUUAGACAUGCGCGUCUGCUUUGACCUGCUAAUGAACUAUUGCUGGUCUUCCUCUGAUAACGCGAUUUAAUGGUUGAGCCCUUUAAAUCGAAUUACAUGGGAGGUAGAGGGGGGGAAAGAUUCAGUUUUCGACUGAUUUUUAUCAUUUAAACUGAUUUAACUUGAAAACGAGUUCAUGGACCCCACUUUUUUAAAAUGCCAUUUGGUUUGUUGACGUAAGAAGAUUAUGUGUGCCAAUUUUCAAGAAACCGUAAAUAGUGCAUUUUUUUUUUAAUUUGAUAAAUAUAUAGCAAAAAAUGAUGUGUUUUUCUGCAUUAAUGAAUAUUUGCUCUUCAACUUCGUACUUUAUUUUGGCCUUUUUUACUUUUUGGAAUUCGAGCGUCACUGAUGAGUCUUUUGUAGACGAAACGGGCGUCUGGCGUAUAUACUAAAUUUAGUCCUGGUAUAUAUGAUGAGUUUAUUUACAACCACUGGGUCGAUGCCACUGCUGGUGGAGAUUUAUUUCCCGAGGGUAUCACAAGCCCAGUAGUCAGCACAUUUGUGUUGACAUGAAUUGUCAUUGAUAUGGUUAUAUUUAUAAAUUUACUAUUACAAAUUUUUGAAUUUUUUGAAAUACUAAGCCUUUUCCACCUUAGGCAUAUAUUACCUUAACUGUAUUUGGCAAAACUUUUAGGAAUUUUGGUCCUCAAUUCUCUUCAACUUCGAACUUUAUUUGGCCUUUUUUACUUUUUGGGAUUCGAGCGUCACUGAUGAGUCUUUUGUAGACGAAACGGGCGUCUGUCGUAUAUACUAAAUUUAGUCCUGGUAUCUAUGAUGAGUUUAUUUACAACCACUGGGUCGAUGCCACUGCUGGUGGAGAUUUAUUUCCCCGAGGGUAUCACAAGCCCAGUAGUCAGCACUUUUUGUGCUGACAUGAAUUGUCAAUGAUAUGGUUAUAUUUAUAAAUUUAAUAUUACAAAUUUUUGAAUUUUUUGAAAUACAAAGGCUUUUCUACCUCAGGCAUAGAUUACCUUAGCUGUAUUUGGCAAAACUUUUAGGAAUUUGGUCCUCAAUGCUCUUCAACUUCGUACUUUAUUUGGCCUUUUUAACUUUUUGGGAUUCGAGCGUCACUGGUGAGUCUUUUGUAGACGAAACGCGCGUCUGGCGUAUAUACUAAGUUUAGUCCUGGUAUCUAUGAUGAGUUUAUUUACAACCACUGGGUCGAUGCCACUGCUGGUGGAGAUUUAUUUCCCCGAGGGUAUCACAAGCCCAGUAGUCAGCACUUUUUUGUGCUGACAUGAAUUGUCAUUGAUAUGGUUAUAUUUAUAAAUUUAAUAUUACAAAUUUUUGAAUUUUUUGAAAUACAAAGGCUUUUCUACCUCAGGCACAGAUUACCUUAGCUGCAUUUGGCAAAACUUUUAGGAAUUUUGGUCCUCAAUGCUCUUCAACUUCGUACUUUAUUUGGCCUUUUUAACUUUUUGGGAUUCGAGCGUCACUGAUGAGUCUUUUGUAGACGAAACGCGCGUCUGGCGUAUAUACUAAAUUUAAUCCUGGUAUCUACAAAUGUAUGAUGUGUUUAUUUGAUAAAUACAAAUUAUUUCUAAAUAAGAAAUGUAUAAAUUUUUAGGAUACUUUUAAAAUACUGAAAUUACAAAUUAUUUAACAAAAAAACAAUUUGUGUUUAUCUUUUAAAUAAAAAAAAUUUAUGUCUUUCUUUCGAUAGGGAAAAUACGGCCUCAAAACCGAAUUUUGAGCAAUAUACAAAAUUUCGACCUCAUUUUACGCAAAAAGUAGCACAUGAAGGUAUAUUUUUUAUUGCAUAUUUGAUUUAAUCAGGUAAAAAAUAGUCUAUAUGGAAAUUUUUAGCAAAAUGUAAAUACGGGAUCAAAACUGUAUCGUAUGCCAAUAAUCUAAAUUUAUGCAUUAUGUACUUAUACCGAUGUAAUUUGACAUUUGUAAUGGUCAAUGGUAUUUUCCGAUUUAUAUUUUUAGGAUCAUAUGAAAACCAGAAAAAGAUUGGAUACAAACACAUGUACUUUAAUGCUACUAAACAAACUUUUAUGAUGUGGACAAUAACAAUGGCUGCUGUUUUGGCAUUUUAUGAGUUAGUCAAACACUUAUUGCGGUUAUACCUGGAAAGAAAUUUGAGAUAUUCAAUGCUUUUUCUAUUAAUACUGAGUAUUUAUCCACAGUACUUUUCUUGGUGGGUAUAUCUCAACUAUCUUAAUGAUGAUUUCUACAAACAGUUCAUCCAUCAAAUGUUUUUUACUGUGACAGAGAUGAUAACCUUGAUGAUAAUUGUUCGCAUGUGCUCAUAUGCAAAUGGUAUUACGACAAACCACUUGAUUGGAGUAUUAUCUAUAAACUUGGUGCACAUUGCUGUAGGGGGUUUAGACCAGUUCUUUGACCAUUUGGUGUUAAUGGAUGGAAAACCAUUUAAAAGAAUGCGAAGUCUUGCACUGGUUAUACCAGACGUCGUGUGUAUUGUAAUAUUUAUAAUAGAAUACAAAAGAUCACGUGGUCGAUUAUUAAGUAGGAA
rnacentral:lncRNA from 1 species